AACCAGCCUCUGAAGCAGUUUAGCCACAUUAGGCCUAUACGACCUCCAAAGCUGGUAACCCAUAGCAACCGAUCAGAAACCAGCUAGUAAACUGGUCUCUGGUUGCUAUGGGAACCAGCCUCUUAGGCAGCUUAGGCUAGGUUCAGACUACGGAAUUUCCGCUUUGAAAUUUCCGGCAGAAAUUCCGCUUACUAUAAUGCACAGUGUAGUGAAUGGUUUUCCGUUCACAAAUUCACACUUCGGAAUUUGUGAAGCGGAAAAUCCGGAUGAAAAAUCCACUAGAAAAUUUCCGCCUGAAGAAAGGGGUUGCUCUUUCUUCAGGCGGAAAUCCUAGCGGAACACAUAGCAGUCUAUAGGAGACUGCAGUGUCCACGCGGUCCUAGCGCCGACUAAUUCAGUCGGCGCAGGCGGAACUCGGAAUCUCUGGGCGAAAACUUUCUGCCCGGAGAUUCCGUAGACUGAACGUAGCCUUAGACCACGAGGCCUAUACUACCUCCAUAGCAACCAGAGAAGUGUAGAAAAUAGAAGCUAAGCUCUGAUUGGUUGCUACAGGUUACCAGCUUAACAUAAGGACCAAUCAGAACCUAGCUCUGAGCUGUGUGGAAAAUAAAAGCUGAACUCCAGUUGGUUGCUACGGGUAACCAGCUUCUGAGGCCUAAUGUCCAAGACGUGACCUGAACCCUCUUAUGCCGUGGCGGCUUCUUAACCCUUUAAUGACUGGGGGUGUUUGGUGCCAUGGUGUCCAGCCUGGCAAGAGUCCAAACUCAGGAAGUGUUUCUCUGCACGGAGCUUGAUUGACAGCUGCACAGAAAGUGAAAGCUCCACAGAUUGUCACAGAAAGCUGCACAGACUGAAAGCUGCAGGAGAGCCUCACUGAUGGCAACACAGACUGAAACAUGCACAGAGCCUGAGGUCUUCUAUUAAUCACAGCGCUGCAAUUAUGUGAGGGCGGAAGUGGUCCCCCAGCAGGCUUCAGUGAUGUAAUGUCUCCUGGGAAACACCUACUUUCUUCUGCUGGGAGAUUGCACAAUAUGAGCAAGAAUAAAGGAGAGAGAGGAAGGAAGAAAGGAGGAGGAGGAGGAGGAGACCCUACAGACCUCACCUGGUACCUGCCCAGAUCCAUAUGCAAAGCAUGCUGGGAAAGAGAAAGCAGCGACAGUGAGAACAAGCAAGCGAAACGCAGAGCGGUAUAGAAAAACAACCCGCCAGAUGAAGUGUUCAGAGAGUCGUUCCUCUGCUCCAUUAACAUAUUACUCUGUUCAACGUACCUGCACGAAGAGGAUGGAGAUUGUGAGGAUAUUAACACCAAAAAAGAAACAAAAUGCAAUAGAAGACAAAUAACUAAAG